GGGUGAUCCUGGUGUGGGCAUCCCGGGGCCGCCUGGACCUCCUGGACCUGCAGGAACAUACAAGUAUCCGGUAUGUACCAUUACAUGUUAUUAUGUGCAUAUUGAUAUAAUUAUGCAUGUCAUAACAGCAGAUGGCCUGACUGUAGCAGGACGGCAUCGACGGCUCCGGAUCGAGCUAUGUGGAUCUGGACAGUGACGCAGAGCUGAUACGGGUGAGUUAUUACAGUCACAGGAGCUGGAGUACCUGCGGAAUGAACUCUGAGACACGAAAUAAUGAUUUAACACUGAACAAAAUGAGACAUGAGGUAGUCAUUAUAUACAUGUGUAAGAUGUGUGCUUAUGAGUUGUCAGACAGAAUUUGGUGCUCAGGUUAAUUUUCAUUUUGUGUUGGACUCUCAUCAGGGUCCUCCAGGGCCACCGGGGCCACCGGGACCUCCGGGCCCUUCUGUCGGAGCUCAUCCGGGGCCCAUUGGGCCUCCAGGGGUUCCUGGAAGAGACGGGGAGACGGGCAAACCUGGAGUCCCGGGUGAAAAUGGACGAGACGGUCAACCAGGAAAAGAUGGAGAAGAAGGGCAG
rnacentral:lncRNA from 1 species